GAUGAAGAACGCAGCGAAAUGCGAUAAGUAAUGUGAAUUGCAGAAUUCAGUGAAUCAUCGAAUCUUUGAACGCACAUUGCGCCCCUUGGUAUUCCGGGGGGCAUGCCUGUUCGAGCGUCAUUAUAACCCCUCAAGCUCAGCUUGGUGUUGGGGCCUGCCAACUGGCAGCCCUUAAAAUCAGUGGCGGCGCCAUCUGGCUCUAAGCGUAGUAAUUUCUCUCGCUAUAGGGUCCCGGUGGAUGCUUGCCAACAACCCCCUAUUUUCUAUGGUUGACCUCGGAUCAGGUAGGGAUACCCGCUGAACUUAUGCAUAUCAAUAAGCGGAGGA
rnacentral:misc_RNA from 1 species